CCACUGAGUUGGUCACCGCGGACAGACGCACGGCUCCUCCGGUCGCGAUGGGUCUCCUCCUCGAAUGACGGCGUCGGAAAAGAUCGUCGCUGCCCCCCUGCUUUUUUCACCCCUCGCCGUCGCCCCCCUCAAGAUCGGUACGGUCAUCUGCACACUCCGAAAACUCUCGUGAUCUCUAAAGCCCUAAUUGCCUCCGCGUAUUUUGAUUCGGUCCAUAUCGUUACAAAAAUGGGCUUAUCAUCCUCAACUUGUGUUACUUCCAAGUUAACAUAUGCCACCAUGUUCAUCAGACUAUGCUAAUUGUUUGAAUAUGUUCUUCUCAACUUUUUGCUGGGAACAAUGUAUGAUAGUCAUGUUAUAGAUUUUGAAAGGGAUAUCUACACAUAAAUUCAUCAGUUAAUUUGUUAUUAACUCAGACUUCUUCAGCCUAGUCAACAAAGCAUCUAUUUGGUUGUAUAUUUUAGAUGUAUCUUUUUCAGAUAGUCUUGCCCUAUGUUAAUGAAAAUCAUUGAUGGGAGUGAUUGCCAAGGAAUUAACAUUUAUAAUUGGAUACAGUGUUUUAUUGACUAGCAUUUAUUUAGAAAGAGAUCAAUUAUAGAGUUUUCAUGGGAUAAAUAUGGACAUUUAAAGCUUAACACUUGACAUGAAUAAAAAAAUUCUCAUACUAUAAUAAUUUAUUUUGUAUAUUCAAGCACGUAUGCUAUAUCAAAUAUUAACUCAUAACAAAAGAAAAAUGAUGUUAGCAAUAAAGAACAGAAAAUAGAGGUUUAAAACAAUCAUAAGCAUACUUUCUAGUGGUUGGAGGUCAACAAAUAUGAGACUUUUCAGUUUGAAGUGCAAUAUUAGUUACAAUAGUAAUUUUAGUUCUCUUUUGACUUUUCCAAGUAAUUAUAUUGAGUGUCAAAACUAGCAAAGGGGACUUUUGAAGGUCAGCAUGGACCUAGAAUAUCAAAGCAGAAAUAUAGAAGGCUGAUGAAACUUGUAAAGAAAGAAGAGCAAAGGCUAUUAAGGGCACAAGAGGGGAGGAGUCCUUUCACUUAUGGGGUAGUGACUACCCCAUCACACCUCCACCUCCUUCCAUUCCUGGGCAGUAUCUCAACCAAUAUUUCAUGUCAUGAGGGUAAGUGGUGAAAGCAGGAUUUGAGCCCAAGACCUUGCGAUAUACUGUCAAAGUCUUUACUGGCUAGCUGACACCUUCGAACUUAAGCAAAGAUUGUUGCAAUGCUUUGAAAGCAACAAGAAACGGUAACUUAGAUGAUUUUAUAGAAACAAUAUAUUUUUUAUGCAGCUAUGAGACCUCAAAAUGAAACCAUUUUAUGCCAAAGCAUAUGUUACUUUCAAUCAAGGUUUUAAGAGUUGAUCUCUGCAGAUACAUAAUUACAUAUAUGAAUCAGCCACUAAACCACAUAGCAUAAACUGUAUGAUACUCGUGAUAUGUAUCCACAUAAUCAGACCAUGUAUAUUGCAGCAUAAUGGUAGGUGGAACUGUGCUGACUCAGAAAAUACAUUAUUGAGAUGCUACCAUGGGAAUCGGGACUUGUGUGAUUGUAGAACUUAAUUAUCUAAAUAUCAAUCUGAUACCCAUUUUGUGUUAUGACAAUCUAUUAGACUAGGUUGUUAUUACCGAGCUGCUGAGCAAGAUUCCUGGUUACACCACCUGUUAUCACUGAAUAAACAAUAAAAAAAUGUAUGUACUGAUUUGUCCGGUAUUUUAAGCCACACUAGAACUAGCAUUAGGAGAUACUAAAGGAUUUAUUCUUUUUGACAUGUAGCCAAGUAUGGGAAUUAAAACUGUGGUUUGGAUGUUAAACUUGAUGCUGUCUCCAUCUCAUUACAGGUUUCUUUAAUAGCCAAUAUUGCAAAGUUUACUCUGAAGUUGUAAUUUACUAAUUUAAAAAUGCUAAGUUUGGCAUCUCCAAGAUAUCUAGGCUUCUGAAACUUGAUAUAUACAUCUCAUACUGUAGUUUUCCCGAUUUUGGUUGUAGUACUUGCAUUUGAUACUAAUUGUUGCUGCCAAGAAUUUUCUUUUUCCAGUGACAUACCAUGCUGAUAAUUUAUCUUGUCGGCAUAAUUUGAUGCAGCCCCCACGAUGAACAGUAGAAGCCAAGGGCACAGCACAAGCUUGUGUUACCUUAAUAAAAUGUACUGGCUUGUAUGCCUUGGUACAUCUGGUACAGAUCAUUCUUGGUUGAUGCAAUAAAAAAUAGUGAAGAUAAGCUCAGAAUGCUUUACCAAAAUGUUAUUUCUGAUUGAAUCAUGGGUCAGUCACGACUUCUACCAUGCUCUAUGCCAUCUCUGCUGUAGUUGUAUUGCUGGUUACUAUCUCCAUUAUUAUGGCUUCCUAUUUUCUUCUCUUUUUAUGUCACUGCAAAGAACACUUAACUGAAGAUUUCAUCUUCUGGUAGGGUGUAUGGAGCUUCUGAUAAUAAAUUCAUUUAGCAUUUUCCAGAAAAAGUGCAACAAAAUGAAAAUAACAUUGAGAUUAGUCUUUAUUGCUGUUACAUUAUAAUAUGUUAUUUGUGUUUCUUUUCUCUAAUUUGUUGGAAGAGGAAUUUUGAUUUCAUAAUAGAAAUUCAAAAUUGUUGAUUUUGAGUGCAUCAAAUUAGCAUUAAAAUCUCUAAUUCAUAGACUUCAUCAUACAUACUUUGUCGGUGAUGCUCCAACGGCAUGUACGUGCAAAGAGUCAAAAGAGGAUUAAUAAGGAAUUCCAUCAUUUAAAGUGAAAUAUGUGUGUUCAUUGCCUUUUUUUUUCACCCAAGACUGAUUAAUAAUUUUUCCCCCUCUGAAUAUUCCUUGGUAACAAGUGGAUGUUUGGAGUCUGUACUCUGCACCUGAAGUCUUGCUCACACUGUUUGAUUUUGCUGAAGAACCAGAAAGAUGCAAGGUUGCCAUACACACUGCCAUAAAAGCCAGCAAAUUCAUGAUUGGCGGUUCUCGGAAAGCAAAUGGAAGUUUGAAUAGAAGUCUACUGCUCUUCUAACAUGAUAAUGAAUGGUAUAGCUCUGAGUUGACAUAUGUAAUUAUGUUCAGAUUGUCUGAACUGGAACAGAUGAUGUAGAUGAUCGGUUUUUUUUUAUAUUCUCGAGAUCAACAUGGUCUGUGUAUUGAUAUUGCAUUACAAUGUACAGACAACAGAAUUUCUCAAGAUCAACUUGGUAUGUA